GUUUGAUCCUGGCUCAGGACGAACGCUGGCGGCGUGCUUAACACAUGCAAGUCGAACGCUGAAGCACCAGCUUGCUGGUGUGGAUGAGUGGCGAACGGGUGAGUAAUACGUGAGUAACCUGCCCUUGACUCUGGGAUAAGCCCGGGAAACUGGGUCUAAUACUGGAUGCUACAUGUCACCGCAUGGUGGUGUGUGGAAAGGGUUUACUGGUCUUGGAUGGGCUCACGGCCUAUCAGCUUGUUGGUGAGGUAAUGGCUCACCAAGGCGACGACGGGUAGCCGGCCUGAGAGGGCGAUCGGCCACACUGGAACUGAGACACUGUCCAGACUCCUACGGGAGGCUGCAGUCGAGAAUCUUCCGCAAUGGGGGCAACCCUGACGGAGCGACGCCGCGUGCGGGACGAAGGCCUUCGGGUUGUAAACCGCUGUCGUAGGUUAAGAAAUGUCUUGUCGUGAAAGCGGCUUGACUUGACAAAGGCCUAAAAGGAAGCCACGGCUAACUUCGUGCCAGCAGCCGCGGUAAGACGAAGGUGGCAACCGUUGUUCGGAAUCACUGGGCAUAAAGAGCACGUAGGCGGGUCUUUAAGUCGGGUGUGAAAUCCCUCGGCCCAACCGAGGAACUGCGCCCGAUACUGAAGGCCUUGAGGGCAGGAGGGGAGUGUGGAAUUCCUGGUGGAGCGGUGAAAUGCGUUGAUAUCAGGAGGAACACCGGCGGCGAAGGCGACACUCUGGCCUGCUUCUGACGCUGAGGUGCGAAAGCUAGGGGAGCAAACGGGAUUAGAUACCCCGGUAGUCCUAGCCGUAAACGAUGAGCACUAGGUAGGGGGGAUCCCAAUGCCUCCCUGCUGGAGUUAAUAUUUUAAGUGCUCCGCCUGGGGAGUAUAGUCGCAAGGCUGAAACUCAAAGGAAUUGACGGGGGCUCACACAAGCGGUGGAGGAUCUGGCUUAAUUCGAGCCUACGCGAAGAACCUUAUCCAGGCCUUGACAUGUA
rnacentral:rRNA from 1 species